rnacentral:rRNA from 1 species
GGGUAAGUAGGUUGGUCGUGCCACCGGUACGUACUGGUCUCACUGAUUCCUCCUUCCUGAAGAACCGUAAUGCCAUUAAUUUGGUGUUGCGGGGAAAUAGGACUGUUACUCUGAAAAAAUUAGAGUGUUUAAAGCAAGCUAACGCUUGAAUACAUUAGCAUGGAAUAAUGAAAUAGGACGAUCGAUCCUAUUUUGUUGGUUUCUAGGAUUGACGUA